GCACCCAUAGCUCAGCUGGAUAGAGUGUUGCCCUCCGAAGGCAAAGGUCGUACGUUCGAAUCGUACUGGGUGCGCCA
rnacentral:tRNA from 1 species